CGUCAAGAAAAUCCAAUCAUAAAUGGAGAAGGGGGAUGGUCUAGCGGGGGCGCGUUAAUGGGUACCUCGGCCAGUCCCAGACACAUCCGGGUCUUCGACAGCCCAUUAAGUGUCGGGGGUCAAAAAAUUGCUUUAGGCUGCAGCUUUACCUUGUAGACGUUUUGGUCCCCUGGCAGCCGCCGUACCACCUAGUCUCUCAAAUCUGUGAUUCUCCUUUGGCAGGCUCUCAUUCUUUCACGUCUAAAGAUGGAGACUGAGAACGGCGCUGGGCUCUAUAUUUGGGUGGAGGGAUGUGAGGCAGCUGUCUAUGAUUUGCCUCAUGCUCCAGCAGAGGUGUGAUUUCCCCAGCUGCAGACAGUUUCUGAAGUUGUGUGACAUGUGAAAUUCUGGGAAGUUUCCAGAGGGUCCAUGAAUGUUUGGACCCUAAGCUGUAAGCAAGUUUAGACCACAGUGAAGAGCACAGUCUGGAGCUAGACUGACUAAGGAGAGCGGAGAUGACCGCCAUGCUCCUGAUGUACAGAAGGGCUGCAGACAAUAACCAGUGAGGAGGGCUGCCAUCUUUGUGAAGGUACUGAAGAAGCUGGGGUCAGGGAGGGGACAGGAGGAGAGGAAAUAAGGCAAAGAUGAGCUCAGGGCCCCCAGAGAAUGGAGCCUUUGUGUGGGGUACAGAUGAGGGACAAGGGGGUGAUUGUGUGGGAGGGCCGGAAGUGCCAUGCAGACUGGCACUGCCAUAGCUGGCACUGGAUUCACUUCUGCUCAGAGAACUCCCUAUAUGUCAUGUGGCCAGGAAAAGUAGGGU
rnacentral:sRNA from 1 species